UCUCUGUAGGUUUAAUAUUUAAAGACUGUUGAGAGUUUGGUUCCCCUGAGAGCUCGGCAUCUACUUGCCCUUGUCCUGCCGUAGCUUAGCAGCACUCAAACUUCCCUGAGUUUCACCGACGGGGGAGUUCUGCACCCAGAACCAGAUUUUGGGCUUAUCCAGCUCCCAGUGCUAUAGUAAAUUGUUUGAACAUAAGAACAGCGGUGAGGACCGACACACAUAAUGUAUAUGAACACAUCUGGAACUGCCAGAGGAUCUUACUCCCUGACCUUCCUGGGAAAGAAAGUAGGGAGGCAUCACUCUGUGGCCCCGGCUGGGAAGCAAAUUGCGUGGGAGACAACUAUCGGGUCAACAGAAGAACCCGCGGCGUCCUCCCAGGCAGGCCCGCAUGUCCCAGUAACGGAACAGGAGUUGGAAAACCUACCAGGCAGCGUACCUGAGUCUAAGGGAGAGAGGCCAAGUCCAGAAUUUCACAACUCACAUUUUCAGCAGUACGGAAACAGCCUACCAGGUGUUUCUGAGAAGAGAGUAACAGCAUGACGACACGCCUAGAUUCCUGUACAAGAAAACAAAGAGGGGAUGGGAAUGUGAUAGUUAGAGAGUGAUGAAAGAGUCAAAACACGCCGUUCGAUGGGACCCCUUAGUGUUCCAGAUACAAGCUGACGCAAAAAGGUUUUAAAACAUAAACAGGGACUGACCUCUUUGUUAAUUUGGAAAUCAGCACUGUUCUUUCAUUUUGUUUGGUGUGUGCCAUUGUGACUAAUGUAAAUCACCAUUUAACUGCACACAUUCAGCCCGAUGUCAUGAUGAAACAGUGGAACGUAUUUAAAUAAAAUGUGAUGCUGUUCUUCA